GGUGUAGCGGUGAAAUGCGUAGAUAUCUGGAAGAACACCGAUGGCGAAGGCAACCUCCUGGGCCUGUUUUGACGCUGAGGCACGAAAGCGUGGGUAGCAAACAGGAUUAGAUACCCUGGUAGUCCACGCCGUAAACGAUGUCAACUAGCCGUUGGAAUCCUUGAGAUUUUAGUGGCGCAGUUAACGCAUUAAGUUGACCGCCUGGGGAGUACGGCCGCAAGGUUAAAACUCAAAUGAAUUGACGGGGGCCCGCACAAGCGGUGGAGCAUGUGGUUUAAUUCGAAGCAACGCGAAGAACCUUACCAGGCCUUGACAUGCAGAGAA
rnacentral:rRNA from 1 species